GACAGAGGGUGCAAACGUUGUUCGGAAUUACUGGGCGUAAAGCGUGUGUAGGCGGCCAUGUAAGUCGGAUGUGAAAGCCCCGGGCUUAACCCGGGAAGUGCAUUCGAUACUGCGUGGCUUGAGUAUCGGAGAGGUUGGUGGAAUUCUCGGUGUAGAGGUGAAAUUCGUAGAUAUCGAGAGGAACACCGGUGGUGUAGACGGCUUACUGGACCAUAACUGACGCUGAGACACGAAAGCGUGGGUAGCAAACAGG
rnacentral:rRNA from 1 species